GUUGCUUGUAUGUAUGUUUUCAGGGCUGGCUGUUUGGCACUGGAUAACCAAUUAGUGUGCUCUUCCCUAGCAAUAUUUACUCUUUAGGGUAGCACCAACUGGCAGUCAAGAGACUGGACCCUACAACCCAGAAGUGAGGAGAAGAGCUUAAAGGUGAUGCUUCAGAAACCAACAGAAGGAACCAGAUUCUUAACUGUGAUGCUUUGAAUGAGUUGCCCCCAUAGGCUCAUAUGUUUGAAUGCUUGGUCCACAGUCCAAUGGAACUGUUUGGGAAGGAUUAGGAGCUAUGGCCUUUUGUCGGAGGAGGUAUAUCACUAGGGGUGGGCUUUGAGGUUUCAAAAGCCUAUGCCAGGCCCUGUCUUGUUCACUCUCUCUGCCUGUGAUUCAGGAUGAAAAGCUCUCACCCACUGCUCUGGAGUCAUGCCUGUCUGCUUUCUGCCAUGAUGAUCAUGGACGGACCCUCUGAAACUGUAAGCAAGCCUCCAGUUAAAUGCUUUCUUUUAUAGGGAUUGCCUUGGUCAUGGUGCUUCUUCAUAGCAAUAAAACAGUAAGUAAGCUACUGACACAUUCAGAAAACAGUAACAGUGACCUUGAUUGUCUUGGUUGUCUCCUAAUUUGCACAGGCCUUCCAGUUCUUGAAUGCCAUGCUGGUAGAGGCGGGGCAGUGGAGAUACUGCUAUGCAUACUGGCUCCCUGUCUGUGGCCUCCUCUUCUGUGAUUCCUCAGCUCAAAGCUCGUGGAACUCUUGGAUUGCCAGGGUGAAUGGGACCAACAGGAGCCUUGUUUGACUUGUCAGCCAGCCCAGAAGGUUGGCAAGUGUACAGCAUGUGAAAAUGAAUGUAGAAUUUCCAGAUUUCAAUAAGAUUUGGAAACUAAUCCUUUUGUAUUCUUGUACUGUCAGUUUAGUUUUGACAGCACCUGGAAAGACAGUAAACACACAAAUAGGUAUAUACUUAUUAAAUUAAUAUUGAAUAUUUUAAUAGAGCCAAAUUGGCAGGAACAGUGCUGGUAUUGUUACCUGUUCAGUUCAUUUUAAUAAGCUGAAACAAAUUGGACUCUAUAAGUAUUCUCCUAGCUACCCAGAAGCCUUUUGUUUUCUUUUAUGCCAAAGUACUUUUGUAUUACUAGACUAAUACUUUGCAUUUAUUUAAGCUAUGUCAAAAUUACAACUAUGUUCUUGUUAUUUUAGGCUUUCUUCAUUUGGCUCAUCUUUGAUACUUCUGCAGAGUAGAGAUUCCACGAGUUUCUUCACUGAGAUUACUUGAUUUAUACCUCAGCACACUUUGGAGAUUAUUAAUCAAUAAUUACCUGAAUGUCUCCUAACUACACAGGACUUGGAGGAUUUGAGCUGAACCUGACCUGAAAGCAUCUUCCCUGAGGACUAGCUUUCAUAAUAAUGGAAGGUGCUAUACAAGCUGCUGAAAGAAGGAAGCAAUCAAUAGUCCUACCAGUCUGUGAGGCCUGUGACAAAAACAUGACCAGCAUUGUUAAGGUAUCUAAGUGCAAUGGUGACACUCACAUUCUGGUGGCAACCAGCUGUUGUCUAAUUGGACUUCAAGCCCUGCUAAACAGUGGAGAAAUCAUGCCUGGAACUGUAAACCCAGCCAACUACCUGUUGCUAAUGAGGUCAUGGAUCUUCAAGGAGAACCUAUUGAUGCCAUGUCUGGUAACAGUAAUUCACCUAACUGCAUUCUAAAUAUUUGCCCUUAUACCCACAGAUAGAUGUAGCUCUCAUCCCUCAUCAAAGAAGUCUCUCUUUGCAAAAGACCGAGACAAUUACAGAAAACUGCAACUGGCGAAAAUGCAGAGAACAACUGAGUGUAGGAUGCCCAACCCAAAUUGGUGCAUCUGCCACACAACCCCCAUCUCUGAAGUUCAUGGACCAUCAUAGAGGGCAUGGAAAGAUUUCAAGAGCCAGAGGACCAUGAAGUUUGCUGUGGGAUUGUGUCUACUAGAAAUGACAGGGAAUGAUACCCAUGAUACCUCAAAAAUAUGGCUGCCAAUGGACCUGAAUAAUGACCACACCAAUAGGCAUGCUUACUCUGAAGGGGGAAAUCUCAUAGGACCCCUAGACAAAGAACUACAGGCAACUAAUGAUUACUGAAAAAGGGAUAAUUAGUCUUCCCCCAGGAAUGAGCCUCUAAAUUUGUUACCCACAAGGGAUCAACCCUGAAAACCAUAUACAUACAAGUAACAGUAAAUAGACUCAGAAGAUUGUAUUUAUAUAUAUAUAUGUAUAUGAAAUAAUAAUAAUAAAAAGAGGCCAUGAAUUUGAGAGGGAGUUAGGGGCAGACAUGAGAAAGACUAGAGAGAGGAGGAAGAAAUGAUAUAGUUUAGAUUUUUUAAAAUUGUAAAAGAAAAGAAAAGAGCAUGGCAGAGAGAGAUGAAGCUCAACUCAUGACCCUUAUCUCUUGCAUAACUUUCUGGUCUUCCUUAAUGGUGAUUCUAUCCUGGAGUUAAAUAGUCCUUUUUUAUAUGCCUACAUAUCUAGAACUUGUGUAGUUAUUGAUGUCUAUAAACAUACAAAUUUGUAUGUGGGAACUUUAUCUAAAGGAACUAAGCAGGACAAAUGAAAUAGAAUUCAGAAAAAAUAUCUUAAGCAAUUUCAGUGAUUGAACUGCCUCUUUUCUUUCCAUCCUUCCCCCUUCCUUCCUUCCUCUCUUUUCCUCUGUUCAUUCAGCUCUUCUCCCCAGUCUCAAUUCCUCGCUGCCUUUCUCUUCUUAGUGAUGUGAAGAUAGUUGUGUGGUUCACCAGUUUUCUUCAUUAGUAUCCUCUUGCCUCAAAGAUCUCUUGGGCCAAUGGAAUACUUUUAUGCCAAAUCUCUGUGACUUAAGCAAACUCACUGGCGGCAGUGUAGAGGUUUGCUGAAGUGUUUGCAUGUGGUGAAUAUCCUGGCAUGUACUCAAGAGGGACUGGCUGGCCUUGGACAAGAUCCUGUUGCAUUUUCCCAGGGAUCAGGUGUGCAUCUUGACUGUCUCUUGAGAGCAUGUUGGAAUCAGGAAAGGUAUGGGCAUCAGUCUCUGCAAGGCUCAAAAUAGCUCAUGGAGAGAGUGCCUACAGAAAGCAGAUGUGCUCUGCAGUGGCUGCUUACUGUUGCUCUCCUUGUCAAAAUGGACAUAGUAAUUGGAGAUGGGGUCAUGGCUCUUGAGUGGGGUAUGUUCAUAUGUUUGAGGUGAGCAAGGAUAUGUCUUUGAUCUACUAUAAAAUAGUCCAUCGAGCAGCAUGUGGCAGGUGAGAAGGUCGAGGUCAGUGCUUGGCUUUGUUGAGCUGUGCAUCUGUCCUUGUCCCAUAUGUGGGAGCAGAGUUGGGUCACUAUGGGGAAGCACGUGUCCAGAAAAUAGGGUUUGCUGACCUAAUUGUGGGCAGUUGAAAGUGCCACAUUAUUGUUGAAAUGAAUGGUGACUUUCGAGUGCAGCCCUCUCCUCCACAUUAUGCUGCUGCUUUUGCUGCUGUAACAGCAGUGGUGAAGAAAGAGGUAAUGUUUGGCCUUCCAGUGGGACAGAUUGGGAGCAGUAGUGUGGUACAGCAAUCGAAAACAUUAGAAGACGCUUUCUGAGGGCAAUUUUAGGUUAUUCUUAAAGAUACUCCUUAACAGAUUCGUGGUAUACGUUCCUAUUGGACUUCUUUUGCUGCUGUAAUUAAGAAAAAUGUCUAGCCACGGGUAUACAAUGAUUUCAAACAGAACCCCUUUUAAUAGUACCAAACCAAAGUCAAAAAUGUCCUUCCUUCACCCGGAGCUUCUCUCUCCCCUUUAGUAUGUCCCCCCAUCCCCAGAGUAACAUGGCAUCAAACAGAUGGUUCCUUGGCAUCCAGGGAUUUUGUGCUCUGUUUUAUAUGUGUGCCCUGACUUCCCUAGAUGAUGGACUACACGCUGUGAAAGAAGUAAGCUGUUUCCUCCCAGGUCACUUCUGGUCGUGUGUUUUCUCACAGCAGUGCAGACCCUGAGAUUCCCGGUAUGUACUUCUUCCCAUGGCCAGGCCUCAAAUCCAAUCAGAAAGUAUAUGUGUGCGUGUAUUUAUAUAUCUGUAUAAAAUUAGUGGGAAUUACAUACAUGUAUAUAAUGAAAGGUGAUUAUGUGUAAUCCUCAAUUUCCUUCUCCAAAUUCUGUCAUGUUCCUCUAGCAUGCCCCCUCUUGACUUCCUGUCUUUUUUUGUAACCCUCUCAGCUCAAUUAUUGCUCCCCAUAGGAAACCGGGCAGUAGAAACCCCUCAAAAACAACGAUUCUCCCUCUCCCUGCCGCUAUCAGUUGUCAGGAGCUUUUCUUCUUUAAGGGUGAAUCCAGAAGAGUGCCCCUCUGAGUUUGGGCUGGCACACACAGCUUCUGUCAGUUCGUGAGUGUGGUCACCGGGGCAUGGCCAGAAGACAGCACUUUCUGAGUGGCAGCGGUCACGACGGAGAUGCAAGAUUGCUCAGAGGGCUGAGAGUGAGAGACUUUGCUCUCUUUCAGAGAGGUGCUGAGAUGCAGCUUGGGGAGUAGAAUCGGUAACCAAUGAUGGUGGUCCCGGUGAGAAUGAAACUGCCUCCAGGUUCUUGCCCUGACUUCCCUAGAUGAUGGACUACACGCUGUGAAAGAAGUAAGCUGUUUCCUCCCAGGUCGCUUCUGGUCGUGUGUUUUCUCACAGCAGUGCAGACCCUGAGAUUCCCGGUAUGUACUUCUUCCCAUGGCCAGGCCUCAAAUCCAGUCAGAAAACAAUUGGCUGCUCCAAAGCAGUCUUGUCAGUACUGCCCAGGUGGCAGCAUCUUGCCCUUUAGGGUGCUUUAAUAGUACUUGGGAUCCAGAGCUGGGUAAGGCCAUUGAUGUCUGCUUUCUCCACAGCCUGCACGGGACCUUCCAGCACUAUGAACACCAGCCGGCAGAGAGGAAACUUCCAGCUUAGUUCUAGCUUGAUGUAUAUAUGUCCUGCAUGCAAGGUCUGGGGUUUCGUCACUAAUAGGGUCUUGCUGUCUAGUUCCGGUGGGUGACCUACCAAAGGCGGUACCCUCCAUUGUUUUGGGAGCCUCUAGCCAACAACUCAGAAGGAAGUAGCCCACAACUGGUGGUGAAAUUUUUGUUUCAAAAUCUGUGGCCUUUGUGAGCAGCAUUAUCCAUUCAUUUAGGGUACCUCCUUUCAAAAGUUUCAGCUCUCUGAUUGGACGUAAGCCCUGCUCAAUAGGAGGGAAGUCACACCUGGUACUGAAGACCUAGCCAGCUACCCAGAGCUAGUGAAGUCGUGCAUCUUGGAGGAGAACCUACAACCACCACUCUACUAAAGUAGCAUAAUACCUACCUGUACUCUAAAUCCUUAUACUCACGGGUAAGUGUAGUCCUCACUUACCAUGAAUUUUAUUUCUUUUUGCAGCAGACAGAGACUAUUACAGAAAACAACGACCCAUCAAACUGCAGAGUUCAGGAGCCUGGUUCCAAUGGAUACAUCUACAAAGCAACUAUAUCUAAGGCUCUGGGAAUGUUUCGGGAGAGGGGGCAGAAUGAUUCUAGGAACUAGAGAUUCAGGGAACAAGCUGUGAGGCUGUCUCCUAGUAAUGCCAGAAGGUACACAUUAUGUCUCAGCAAUGUGACUGCCCAAACAUGAGCUGAGCAAGGACACCAAUAGACAUGUCUGAUUGGACAAUAGACAAGCUGAACUAGGCCUCAGCCCUAGGAAAUCAAACAGGUAACUAAGGAAUACUGAGAGCUGGAGAAAGAGUCUUCCCCAGAGAAGAGUAGCAAUUGUUAAUCCUGUACCAAAUGAUCAGUCCUGGAAACAUACAUACAAGUAGCAUGAUACAGACUGAGCAGGUUGUAUUUGAAAAUAUAUAUGUAUAUACAUGAACACAUACACAGAUGCGUGAAGAAACAGUUAAUGAAAAACGCCAUUUGAAAGAGCAGGGAGGGCUAUAUGUGAGUCUUUGGAGGGAGGAAAGGAAAGGAAGGAAAGAUGUAAUUACAAUAGCAAAAAAAAUUACAUUUUUUAGUCACUUUCUCAAUUCAGUAAGUCUCUGCAUGGCUGUUGCCUAUGUCUAGAGUUUUGGUUCAACUUUUCCCACAACCCCAUUGCAUGUAGCAACAUCCCCGUUUAAACCUUUCUAGCCCCAGGGUCCCCCCAACUCCAUGUUCAUGUCACAUGCACUGUCCCUCCCCUCAAGACCUCCUCUCAAGGCUCCUUUCCUGUCCCCUGACUUCUGCAGACACUAACUCCUAUUUAAACACAGAAAUGGAAAACGAAGACGCUAGGGUCCACAUGCCAGACAACAUAUGUGGCUUCUGUGGCUAUUGUGACAGAGAUGCCAAAAGCAUACAGUGGAGAACAGGCAGCCGUCCUCGUUGACACAUAGUCCUGGAAAACUAGAUAUACACGUGUAGAAGACUAAACCUGCAUCCCUGUCUUCCAUCCUGAAGAAAAAUCAAUUCCAACUGGAUCAAAGACCUUCAUAUGAGACCUGAAACUCUGAACAUGCCAGAGGGAAAUAUAGGGAAAAUUCCUCAAGAGAAGGGUAUGUAUAGCCAAGAACCUUCUUAAAAGGUUCACUAGCUCAGGAAAUGGGCUCCAUAUUUGGCAGAUGGAAUCAUGAGGCAUUAACAACAUUCUCCACAGCAAAAGCCAGCAAAUUGCUGGAGUGAAGAGACAGCAUUCAGAAUGGGUAAAAAAUAUUUGCUACAUAUCCAUCAGGCAGAAAAUUAAUGAAUAAAUGGAUUCCAACAACUACAAGAGAACCAAACAAGUCAAAAAUCAGUGAUUAAAACAAACACAUUUCUCAUGCAUACUAUAUGACAUGCAUGUAAACAAGAGGGAGACUGUGAUAAGAAUAAGGAGACUAGCAGGUGGGAAGAAUGUAAUGAGGAGAAAAAAGAGUGUAUGAGGUUGAAAAUGGCUAAGGAACACUUUGAACAUAAAGGGUAUUAGGCCCAUUGCUAUUUGCAGUGUGUGUAAACCAUUUACAAAUGGGUGAAUAGGUCUGGCCAACCUCAUGAGCCAUGCUGCAGCCGAGCCGUGCUGCUCUGGGGGGCCUGCACUGCCAGCUGGGGCCAUGGUGACCUCCGGGGACAGGCUGCUGCAGAGGGCCAUGUCUGGGUCCAUUCUGCUGCUGCAGCCAGUCUAUGUUAAUGUCCAUGGCCCAUUUCACCCCCAAAGGUGGCACCGAUGCCCAGGUGUGGGCUCCUAGCUGUGGCUAUGUUGGUGCCCGAGGCCCAUGCCACUGCUGGGGUCAUGCCGAUCUGGGUGUCCUGAGCUGCAACACAGGGUCAUGGUGAAGUCUGGGCCUGAGCUGCUGCCAAGGGCCAUGUCUGGAUCUGGGGCCCUGCAAAACCAUGGUCUAAGUUGAUGCCCAUGGAUGGCUUCAGUUGCCACAGAAGUCCAUACAGAUUCCCAGGGUCCAAGCCACCACCUGAGGUCAUGUUGGU